AGUGAACGCUGGCGGUAGGCCUAACACAUGCAAGUCGAACGGCAGCACAGUAAGAGCUUGCUCUUACGGGUGGCGAGUGGCGGACGGGUGAGGAAUACAUCGGAAUCUACUUUUUCGUGGGGGAUAAGGUAGGGAAACUUACGCUAAUACCGCAUACGACCUACGGGUGAAAGCAGGGGAUCUUCGGACCUUGCGCGAUUGAAUGAGCCGAUGUCGGAUUAGCUAGUUGGCGGGGUAAAGGCCCACCAAGGCGACGAUCCGUAGCUGGUCUGAGAGGAUGAUCAGCCACACUGGAACUGAGACACGGUCCAGACUCCUACGGGAGGCAGCAGUGGGGAAUAUUGGACAAUGGGCGCAAGCCUGAUCCAGCCAUACCGCGUGGGUGAAGAAGGCCUUCGGGUUGUAAAGCCCUUUUGUUGGGAAAGAAAAGCAGCAGGUUAAUACCCCGCUGUUCUGACGGUACCCAAAGAAUAAGCACCGGCUAACUUCGUG
rnacentral:rRNA from 1 species